CUCCGUAGGGGUACCUGCGGAGGGAUCAUUACACAAAUAUGAAGGCGGGCUGGAACCUCUCGGGGUUACAGCCUUGCUGAAUUAUUCACCCUUGUCUUUUGCGUACUUCUUGUUUCCUUGGUGGGUUCGCCCACCACUAGGACAAACAUAAACCUUUUGUAAUUGCAAUCAGCGUCAGUAACAAAUUAAUAAUUACAACUUUCAACAACGGAUCUCUUGGUUCUGGCAUCGAUGAAGAACGCAGCGAAAUGCGAUAAGUAGUGUGAAUUGCAGAAUUCAGUGAAUCAUCGAAUCUUUGAACGCACAUUGCGCCCUUUGGUAUUCCAAAGGGCAUGCCUGUUCGAGCGUCAUUUGUACCCUCAAGCUUUGCUUGGUGUUGGGCGUCUUGUCUCUAGCUUUGCUGGAGACUCGCCUUAAAGUAAUUGGCAGCCGGCCUACUGGUUUCGGAGCGCAGCACAAGUCGCACUCUCUAUCAGCAAAGGUCUAGCAUCCAUUAAGCCUUUUUUUCAACUUUUGACCUCGGAUCAGGUAGGGAUACCCGCUGAACUUAAGCAUAUCAAAA
rnacentral:rRNA from 1 species